rfam:Candidatus Synechococcus spongiarum SP3 contig-70_25, whole genome shotgun sequence.
GAUAGCCGAAGAUGACGGCAGGGCUCAGGGUUGGAUUGGUGAUCAUGCGCACAUCGCCACCCCCAGGAGCCCAGGUGUCAUACACACCGCCAAAGAACAUGGCCUUAAACACCAGCAGUAGGCAGCCCACCCCCAGGAGAAUCAGGUGAUAGCCAAUGAUAUUGGUCAUCUGAUCCUUGUCCCGCCA